CGAAAAAUAACGAUACGGGACUCAUCCGAGGCCCCGUAAUCGGAAUGAGCACACUUUAAAUCCUUUAACGAGUAUCCAUUGGAGGGCAAGUCUGGUGCCAGCAGCCGCGGUAAUUCCAGCUCCAAUAGCGUAUAUUAAAGUUGUUGCGGUUAAAAAGCUCGUAGUUGGACUUGUGUCCCACGCUGUCGGUUCACCGCCCGUCGGUGUCUAACUGGCAUGGUUCGUGGGACGUCCUGCCGGUGGUGGCGAGUCGAAGGAGCGCGCCCGUCGUGGUUCACGCCGCGAUCGAGGUUGCGGUCCGUAGACGGACCCCGAUGAAAUCCUACCGCGGUGCUCUUCACCGAGUGUCGAGGUGGGCCGGCACGUUUACUUUGAACAAAUUAGAGUGCUUAAAGCAGGCCUGUUGCGCCUGAAUACUGUGUGCAUGGAAUAAUGGAAUAGGACCUCGGUUCUAUUUUGUUGGUUUUCGGAACCCGAGGUAAUGAUUAAUAGGGACAGUCGGGGGCAUUCGUAUUGCGACGUUAGAGGUGAAAUUCUUGGAUCGUCGCAAGACGGACCGAAGCGAAAGCAUUUGCCAAGUAUGUUUUCAUUAAUCAAGAACGAAAGUUAGAGGUUCGAAGGCGAUCAGAUACCGCCCUAGUUCUAACCAUAAACGAUGCCAGCUAGCGAUCCGCCGAAGUUCCUCCGAUGACUCGGCGGGCAGCUCCCGGGAAACCAAAGCUUUUGGGUUCCGGGGGAAGUAUGGUUGCAAAGCUGAAACUUAAAGGAAUUGACGGAAGGGCACCACCAGGAGUGGAGCCUGCGGCUUAAUUUGACUCAACACGGGAAACCUCACCAGGCCCGGACAC
rnacentral:rRNA from 1 species